rnacentral:rRNA from 1 species
CGCGUAGGAAUCUGCCUAGUAGUGGGGGACAACCUGUGGAAACGCAGGCUAAUACCGCAUAAGCCCUGAGGGGGAAAGGAGGGGAUCUUCGGACCUUUCGCUAUUAGAUGAGCCUGCGUGAGAUUAGCUAGUUGGUGAGGUAAAGGCUCACCAAGGCGACGAUCUCUAGCUGGUCUGAGAGGAUGAUCAGCCACACUGGGACUGAGACACGGCCCAGACUCCUACGGGAGGCAGCAGUGGGGAAUAUUGGACAAUGGGCGCAAGCCUGAUCCAGCCAUACCGCGUGUGUGAAGAAGGCCC